AUUCGAGACCUUCUGGGUGGGAAGGAGGCAGCCAUGUGGUGAUCUGGGGAAGAGUGCUGCAAGCAGAAAGGCAAGUAAAAACAAAAGCCCUGAGGCAGAAAUGUGCUCCUUAUGCUUAAGAAACACCGUGAAGGCCAACGUGGUUGGAGCAAUGUGAGCAAGAAGAAUAGAGGGGCCUUGGGAACAUAGGUAGCUGAGUCCUCAUGGAUCAAGGCACCUUGACUUUAAGUGUCUGUUACACCAAAGGUUAUGGCAAACUGUGUCUGCAGCCCACAGUAAAAUCCAGUUUAAGGCUCUCCACACUGGAGUGCAGCUAUCCAGUUUUUCAGCCAUUUCCAAAAGGAAUUAUAUUGAUGUGUUAGUUGACAAGCCUACAAUGAAAAGAUAGAUGGGAAAAGAAGACCAUCAGACAGGUGGCUGGAUAUGUGGAGACAAGCACGAAGAAGUCCAGGCUCUGUCACGACGUUGCUGACUGGCUUCUGUCACAUUUUCAGGCAUCUUUUAGCUAGAGGUGCGCGUGUGACACCACAUGGACUGUGAGAAAUAGUCAAGUUCAGCCUAGUGACGCUUCUGGCAAAGCUUGUUUUCCUGAUUUUUAAAAAAGGAGUUGGGGGAGUGCCAUGCCUUUUGUCCUUCCUCCCUCCUCCUGCCUGGAACAUGGAUGUGAGACCAGGAAGUACAGCAGCCAUCUUGUGACCAUGAGGACUAAAGGCCUGCGCUGAGGAUGGUACAGUAAAAUGAAAGAAGCAGCCUGGAUGCCUGAUGAGCAGCUGUGCCAGCCCCAGGGUCAUGCAAAUCAGUGUCAAUCAUUGUGGUUCUGGUUUUCUCCUAUUUGUAGCCAAAUAAAUUCCUUACUGAUAUAGGCAGGGUCCUUGUUGGUUCCAAAAAAAAGUGGAUUCACAGAAAUAUAACUGAGAGAACCAUGAAUUUCUAAAGAAGUCCUAGAAAUAGAUCAGUCAGAGAAGUUGUCCAUUUCAGGCAGGGGUUUCUACUGUAAGUUGCUUGGAUGGAAAAUAAAUCAGUGUUAAGGAGGUGAGAAUGCCAUCACUUGAAUUGUAUGACUAUAUCUUAUUAAAUCUCAGAUGCCAUCAGUUGUAAGGUAUAGCAUUAUUUUACAUAUCACUAUGAGAGAAGAAAAUGCUCUCAAGACAUAUCACUGAUUGUAAGAUGCAUCCACCUUGAUUUCAGAGAUUUUAAAAUGUGAAAAAAGGGAGGGACAUCUUAGGAUCAGUGAAAUAUGGCACAUAUUUAUUUGCUUCCUUGAUUCCUGCCUGCUGUGCUCAUUAGACCAGAGACACUGUCUGCCAUGCUCUCUGCCAAGUCCUCCAUACCUAGAAUUGGGCCUGGCAUAGAGUGGGGUCUAUAAAUAUUGGUUAAUUAAUAAGUUAACUAAUAAGUUCUAGUCCUUGCUUUUCCAAUAACUUCCCAUGCUACCCUGGCUGGAGAAAGCAUUUCCCUUUCUCUGUACCUCAUUUCUCCAUAAUCUAGUUCAACUGACCCUCACCAGAACUGAAGAAACAAAAAGCCCCAAAUACAUGCAAAGCGGACCUACACUCUGCAUCACCAUGGUGACGCCUCCCAGGGUCCCAGAGGGCAGGGAGGCCUCAUCUUCCACCAUCCCUAGAAAUCUCUCUUUCCCCAGAGCCCAACUCCUUCUAAAGCUCUGUGGUUAACCCUUUCCAGGCAAGCCUUUUCCAACACUCUGUUAGGGUUACUAAAUGUGCUCCCUACAAAUGGACUAGGGCCAAGGAAUUAUGCAAGAUCCUUCAAGCAAAGAGAUGGUAUUUUGUAACUUCCCUGAGUUUCUCCAGGAAGAUGAAAUGCACAACAUAUUUUAGAAUAAUAUCAACCUACAUAUGUCAGAGAGGUAGUCUUGUCUGACCAAAGCCCUUGAGCUGGUGAGGGGCGGGGUUCCAGGUGCCCCUUCUGCUGCACUAGCAUUGUAUUCAGAAGUAAUAAAGAUGAUGGCUUUCAUGU
rnacentral:lncRNA from 1 species